rnacentral:lncRNA from 1 species
UUGGGUAAGGGAAGGCUUUUAUUCAAGUGAUUCAAGAGGUUCAAAACAUAUGAUCUUUAAGGUGGUUUACUCUCAAAACAAGUAGCCUUGACAUUGCACAUAAUAUAUCUAAGAAAGGGACCAACUCAUGCAUACAAUGCUCAAUCUCCAUUGUUCUACCCUUUUCCCAAACAUACAAUUACACAAUCAUUCCCAAAUGUCAAACCCAACUCACAUCUCUCACCAAAAGAUCCUAAGAACUUUAACUCCUUCUCUUUGAAAUCUACAAGGGAUUUUUCACAACCUCAAAACAUUUCUUAGCUCCUAACAACUUUGCUAGCCCCCUUUUUCUUUUUUUUUCUUUUUUUUUCUUUUCUCUUUUUUUUUCGUUUUUCUUUUUCCCUUUUUUUUUUUUUUUUAGGCUGGGGGCCAAGACUUUUCAAAACUUGAACUAGAGGCUUCUAUACUGGUCCCAAUAAAACAAUUCACUUAAGCACAAAGAGUCUAUUCUUUUCCUUUUUCAUUUCUCCCAAAUCAUAAUCACAACACUCACCCCCACUUAUAGCUAGACAAUAGAGUGUCCAAUCUAGCAAGAAUGAAGAUCAAGCAUUGUCGUUCCCGAUACUCUCAACAUUAUGCACAUGUAAGACUUUCCGAAAAAGGCCUCACUCAUCAAACAAUGAAAGCUUAAAAGGAGGAAAAGGUUUUGGGAGUGGUCUACCACUAGAGUUUGUCAAAAAAGAUUGGUAUAAAAGAUGUGACAACUCAAGUGUGUAUAGCCAUGACUCAGUACACAAGGGACCAUGAGCAAGAAGCAUUAAGUUCGUUCAGUUCAAAUAAGGUUGUAGUUGGCUUCAAAGACUGAGUUUCAGCAAUCAACAAGUUUCAGGAAGAGUUUUCAAGGCUCGAAACAUACAAGUCUUUUUGAGAGGUGCAAAAGCUAGUCAAGUGCAACGUAGUGUUCUUUACAAGGCAUUCAAAAUCAUUGCUCCCAAUGCAAGUGAAUGCAACCUAUAUGCUCUAGACUCUCCUAAAAAUGCAAAUGAUGCAAACUAAAUGAUUGAUUUUUUUUUUUUUAUCUAUGCAAAUAGGUAUGCCAUGCAUGACUCAAUGAAACAACAUCAAAGCAAACAUGAUCAAAUACUUGGUACCUCCCCCAAACUUGAGUUACACAGUCUCUGUGUCGUCAAGUAGAGAGAGAUACCGAAAAGAAGACUAAUAUGCAAAAAUGAAAUGGUAUAUACAAGGGAGUGUGGUGGGUUACCUUCUAUAGGGAAUGAGUAGAGGGAGAUGCUCCCUCAUCG